rnacentral:lncRNA from 1 species
CGGAUUUUUGGAAGGGCUCCCUCUAUAUAAGGGUAAAGUCCUAUAAAAUCAAAACUAAAAUAUUUUCACACUUAAAUUUUUAUUCCUAUCCAAUAAUUCAAUAUUUGUUUGGGCCAAUCAAAUAUGGAUUUUUGGAUUUCAGAUAUUGAUAAUAACUUUACAAUUCAAGAUUGAUGAUACACGAUUUGCAUACAUGCCAAAGGAUGUUGAGACCUCUGGUGGAUUUACCAACUCAUCGAGGAUUGUCAAAUCAUCAAUAUAUUAAGAACAUUCGAUUCACAUCAAUAUAAACUUUAAAAAACAUCCAAAUACAAAUGUUAACAAACG